rnacentral:tRNA from 1 species
UGGAGGGAUUCCCGAGCGGUCAAAGGGGGCAGACUGUAAAUCUGUUGCGUGAGCUUCGAAGGUUCGAAUCCUUCUCCCUCCACCAA